AAAUUGAAGAGUUUGAUCAUGGCUCAGAUUGAACGCUGGCGGCAGGCCUAACACAUGCAAGUCGAGCGGCAGCGGGGAGUAGUUUACUACUUUGCCGGCGAGCGGCGGACGGGUGAGUAAUGUCUGGGAAACUGCCUGAUGGAGGGGGAUAACUACUGGAAACGGUAGCUAAUACCGCAUAACGUCUUCGGACCAAAGUGGGGGACCUUCGGGCCUCACGCCAUCGGAUGUGCCCAGAUGGGAUUAGCUAGUAGGUGGGGUAAUGGCUCACCUAGGCGACGAUCCCUAGCUGGUCUGAGAGGAUGACCAGCCACACUGGAACUGAGACACGGUCCAGACUCCUACGGGAGGCAGCAGUGGGGAAUAUUGCACAAUGGGCGCAAGCCUGAUGCAGCCAUGCCGCGUGUGUGAAGAAGGCCUUCGGGUUGUAAAGCACUUUCAGCGAGGAGGAA
rnacentral:rRNA from 1 species